rnacentral:lncRNA from 1 species
UGACAUUUAAAAAUAUUUAUUUAAGGUAAUAAAAUGUUCUCAUAGUUUUAAAAUGUUUAUUCCAAAAAAUGUUUCCCAUGUGUUAAAAAAAAGGUGUUCAACACCUGUAUUAAAAUAAAAUGUAUUUGAGAAAUCUUCAAUGUGUAUCAAUAAUUCUUUUUACGUGUACACUAAAAAAUAUAUAUUGUGAACGUAAAGCAAUUGUGUAAUUAAAACCGACAAAAAGAAAAAAAUAUAAGAACCAAAGAAACAGAAAAAACCGACAUAUAACAAAGAAAAAACCAAUUAAAAAAAGAAAACAAAACUAUAACGGAACAACUAAAGAAAACCGUGAAGAAAUUAAAAAAAAGAAAUAAAGGGAACAAAAAAAAAUCAAGAAAAGCCAACCCGAAGAAUGAAAACAGGAGAACGGACCCACAUAGAUAAGACUGGGCCAAAACAGUGAGAAACCAAAUAAAAAGAUUAAAAUGCACUAAGUGCUACAGUAGUGGGCUGGGGUGGUCACGCCGCGCCUGAGGUUUGUGGAGCAUACAUCUCGACCUAGCUCCGAUGCGCGGGAGCUCCUAUUGGACACUCAUUGCGUCCAAUAGCACGUGGCCCACAGGGGACCGUAACUGGGUCGCCCAUUGGGAGGACCGAAGCCAGUUGUGUUGUAGCGCACAGUGCGACUUAAAAUAUCCCCCAAAGCGGGGAACUUGCAAGGAAUCAAACUCAAGACCUCCCAUCACUGAUCGUCAAACUGAUGGCGGCCGAUGUGUGCUAAGUAACGCAAAGAUCUAAGAACUUACUGUAGUAGCAUAUCUCAAAAUUUUCCCCAAAAUUUUCAUUUUCAUUUUUAAAAUUGUGAACAAUUUUGAAAUUACAAAGAUUUUUUCAAUAAUACAAAUAAAUUGUGCAAUAUCCAAAUAUUUUCUAAAAUGUGAACAAUUUUCGAAAUCCCAAUAUUUUUUAUCAAAAUAAACAAAUUGUGAUUUUUUUUAAAAACAAGAUCAUUUUUUGAACACGCGACAAUUUUUAAAAUCCUGUUUUCUAUAAGUGACAAAUUUUAAAAACACAUGAACAAUCCUUGAAACCCCAAACAUUUUUUUGAAAAAUCGAUCAUAUUUCGAAAUUCCAAACGGUUACCAAACUUUUUGAUGAUUUUUUUGAAAAAAAAUAAUUUAUUUUGAAUUUGUGAAGAAUUUUAAAAAAUGAAAAUAUUUUUUUGGAAAUUUUGAACUUCGUACAAAACUUGUAAGAAAACAUAGAAAAGAAAGAAAAAUGCGGAACAAAACUAGGGAAAAAAGUAGGAAGAGAAACCGGGAAAAAAAAUGGACCUUAACCAGAUCGGAAUCUUCUGGAAAGUUCCCAAAAUUUGGAACAAACCUACCAUACAAACCUUUCGAACUACGCUAAAAUGGGCAGGCCGACCUGCUUCGUUGCAUGUGCAAAAUGGCAACUAUUUGACGCAACGCACGACAAAUGGGAAAUUCGAUCCCUCGUGUUGUAAGGUGACGACCUUGCGUUGAAAGAACUUUAAAAAAAUAAUUUUUAAAAGUGAUUUUUCAAAUUUUCAGAAUUUGAAAGAAGUUCAUGAAUUUUAAAAAAUAUUCGCUAUUUUUAUAAAAUUUAUAAAUUUGGAAAAUUCACGAUUCCAAAUUGGGAAAAGUUUUCGGAUUUGAAAUAUGUUCACAAAUUUGGAAAAAGUUAAAAAUAUUUAAAAAAUAGAAAAACAAAUGUUCCUAAAAAAUGUACACGAAAAGUUUAUUUUUUUAAAUUACUACAUUAUUCAAAAACUAUGAAUUAAAAAAACUCCAGAGAACUUUAAAAUGUAUGCAACUUGAGGAAAUUUUUAUUUUUUAAAAAAGUUCACACAUUUGAUCUUUUUGAAAUUAAACCUAAAAAGAAAAAAGAAAAAAGAAAAAAGAAAAACAAAUAGGAAUUCAAUUGAGUGGUUCUGUCCGUAGAAAUAGUAUGACCGUAAAAGCGGUUCUUUUUUGCUUGGUAAUACAUGUUUCAUUCAUAUAAUUAAGAUCAAGUUACAAUCCACAUAAACAUCGACCUGACAAAACUGAAAUGACAAUUGAACUCUAGGCUUUAUCCAAAUAACCACCAGUCAAGAAAGCAAAAUACAAUCAACACCGAAGAAUCCCCUAAGCUUGACGCCAACACCCAAGAAGACAUCGGGAAUAUACAGAUGUAGUACAAACAUUUUUGUUGUUGUGAAUAUAUAGACGUUCUUUUUAUUGCAAAUACACAGACGUACAUACAUAACGCACUCGCCUCGCUUGAUCUUACCGUGCACCCUGCAUGUGAUAUGUGAAUACAAAUAAUUCCUGAAGGUACAUACAGUAGUACUUAUUUUGUAAAAUACAAUAAUACUGCCUUUCUUUCUUCUAUAUAUAAUGGCCCCACGUAUUGUGCAUGGCCUGCCGAGCUCCAUAUACACAUCUUAAGUAAAGGGAGACAUAUCUCUCCAUGCACCAUGCAUGUAUAUUAUCAGGGCUAAUUGUAGCUUGUGGCCGUGCUCUUCUUCCACAGCUCCUUCAACCACGUACCAUCGAAGUUUCUACUACUACACAGCAACCGAGGAAGAAGUUCGAUCGUUCGACGACCCUCUUCCUCCUAGCCAGUCUUCAUCGUCUUCGUUCUUCAUCCUGACCUGCAGCUUAUGCAAAGAUGAAAAUGGUUAAUAGUAAUAAUAAAGUUGCAUGCAUGCAGUAGCAAUCAAAUCACUUUAUUUUUUCUCGACAAGCUUCACAUCAGUUGUUAAGUUUUCACGUGAUCGAUCGGGUUAAUGUUCCUGUCAACUCAACUUUUUUAUUUCCACAGAAAAACUCAACUUUUCAUAUGAUUGGUCUGCGGAGUGUAGCUAGUGUUGAGUAUGUGUUUUGUAUUGCACGUGUAUUGGAGUUGUGGCCCACCUCCUAGUCUUGUAUAGUUGAGGUAGAGGCCUUCCCUUGUAUUAUAUAUACGUGCACCAGCACCUCAUCAAUACAACGAUUAUUGUAUUGCAAACUUUCCCGUCUACAUGGUAUCAUCUAGAAGGUCCUGACCUAUGGCAAGCCGCCGCCGCCGCCGCGCCGCACCUCCUCGUGCGCGCCGCCGCCGCUCCCCGCCNNNNNNNNNNNNNNNNNNNNNNNNNNNNNNNNNNNNNNNNNNNNNNNNNNNNNNNNNNNNNNNNNNNNNNNNNNNNNNNNNNNNNNNNNNNNNNNNNNNNNNNNNNNNNNNNNNNNNNNNNNNNNNNNNNNNNNNNNNNNNNNNNNNNNNNNNNNNNNNNNNNNNNNNNNNNNNNNNNNNNNNNNNNNNNNNNNNNNNNNNNNNNNNNNNNNNNNNNNNNNNNNNNNNNNNNNNNNNNNNNNNNNNNNNNNNNNNNNNNNNNNNNNNNNNNNNNNNNNNNNNNNNNNNNNNNNNNNNNNNNNNNNNNNNNNNNNNNNNNNNNNNNNNNNNNNNNNNNNNNNNNNNNNNNNNNNNNNNNNNNNNNNNNNNNNNNNNNNNNNNNNNNNNNNNNNNNNNNNNNNNNNNNNNNNNNNNNNNNNNNNNNNNNNNNNNNNNNNNNNNNNNNNNNNNNNNNNNNNNNNNNNNNNNNNNNNNNNNNNNNNNNNNNNNNNNNNNNNNNNNNNNNNNNNNNNNNNNNNNNNNNNNNNNNNNNNNNNNNNNNNNGCGCGCUCCCGCGUGCCGCCGCCGCCGGCUCUGACGCCUUCCAUGGACUCUCCAGGCUACUUCACCAUCUGCGGUGGAACCGCUUCCCCGGCCGCGCCAAUCCAGUCGCGUCCUUCUCUACAGCACCCGCAAGGGAGCGGGGGCCGACGCAACCGGCGUGGCGGCGGUCGCCGCCGCCUGCAACAGCCGCAGGCCCAGGACGCCGGGGGGCGCCACACUAUCAGCAGGCUCUCCCCGCUGGCCACCAGGCGUUCAUCGGCGCGCCCUUCCAGCCGACUGGCGCCCUCCCCGCGCUGCCGCCCCUCGGUGGUUAUGGACCGCCCGUCCCGGCGCCGCCCCACGGGGGCCUUCCGCCGCCGCCGGUAUCUGUGCCAUGGGACCCCACCCUCCUCGCCGCCCAGAACUCCGCACCGUUGUCGAGUAGCUCUGUCGGUGGAGGCGACUGGUACAUGGACUCAGGUGCUACUGCGCACAUGGCAGCUCAUCCCGGUAACCUAACCUCCUCCACUCCCGUUCACACACCCACUCGUAUCACCGUCGGCAACGGCUCCUCCUUACCUAUUACUCAUAUCGGUAGCACUAGCUUUCCCUCCACUUCCACACCCAUCACUAUGUCUAAUGCUCUUGUUUCACCUGAUUUAGUCACAAACCUAGUUUCCGUUCGUCGUCUUACUCGUGAGAACCCACUUACUGUUGAAUUUAACGGUGUCGGCUUUUCUGUGAAAGAAGCCCGUACCCGGAUGGUCCUUCACCGAUGUGACAGUCCCGAUGAGCUCUACCCCGUGCACGCCGGCGCCUCCACCUCCACACCUGUUGCUCUUGCCACCGGCGUUGACCUUUGGCACGCUCGCUUGGGUCACCCCAACCACACCGUCUUACGUCAAAUCCUUAGGAGUUUCUCUUUCUCAUGUGAUAAGCUCGACGAGCACUCUUGUGAGGCUUGUCGCUUAGGCAAGCACGUUCGUCUUCCCUUUAGUGCGCCUUCUUCAGUUUUCACUUUUCCGUUUCAAUUACUUUAUAGUGAUGUUUGGACAUCUCCCGUUACGAGUAACACGGGCUAUCUAUACUACUUGGUGAUUUUAGAUGAUUACUCUCAUUAUGUGUGGAAUUUUCCCCUUUGUCGUAAAUCCGAUGCUUUAGCCACACUCACCGCCUUUUAUUCCUAUGUCACCACCCAGUUCGGUUGCCCCAUACUCGCACUCCAAGCCGAUAACGGAAAAGAGUUUGACAACGUCGCUCUUCGCACACUUCUCGCCUCUCACGGCACCAUCUUCCAUCUGACUUGCCCCUACACUUCCCAUUAGAACGGCCGCGCCGAGCGCAUUCUCCGCACUCUUAAUGACUGUGUUCGCACGUUACUCUUUCACUCUAACGUGCCCGCUCGGUUUUGGCCCGAUGCCCUCGCUACCGCCACUCUCUUAGUUAACAUUCGUCUGUGUCGCCCUCGGUGGAACUACGCCCCUCACCACCUUCUCUUCGGCACACCACCGUCCUAUGAUGGUCUCCGCAUCUUCGGGUGUCUCUGUUAUCCUAGCACCGCGUCCACCACGCCACACAAGCUCGCACCACGAUCCGUCCCAUGCGUCUUCCUUGGCUACCCUCCUAAUACCAAAGGUUACCGGUGCUAUGAUCCUGUCACUCAUCGUGUGUACACCUCGAGGCAUGUGUACUUUGUCGAGACGGUGUUCCCUUUUUUUCAGGUUCCUUCGGCUUCGGCCCCUUCGGCGUCGGCCCCCGCGCCCCUUUCGUGGAGCGAUGCGCGGCGGCAGCCCCCGGCAGCGCCCCCGGCACGGCACCCUAUGCCGCCACCACCUGGCUUCGUGACUCCCUCCCCCGAGGUCGAGUCCGCGUGGGUCCCCGGGUCCCCGUCUCCCUCAUACGAGGUUGCGCCCGGCACCCCGCCCGCCACGCCUGCAACGGGCUCGACGUCAACCUCGCCCGUCGCCUCUUCCGCCACCGGAUCGGCCGCCGCUGCUGCCGCCGCUGUCGCUNNNNNNNNNNNNNNNNNNNNNNNNNNNNNNNNNNNNNNNNNNNNNNNNNNNNNNNNNNNNNNNNNNNNNNNNNNNNNNNNNNNNNNNNNNNNNNNNNNNNNNNNNNNNNNNNNNNNNNNNNNNNNNNNNNNNNNNNNNNNNNNNNNNNNNNNNNNNNNNNNNNNNNNNNNNNNNNNNNNNNNNNNNNNNNNNNNNNNNNNNNNNNNNNNNNNNNNNNNNNNNNNNNNNNNNNNNNNNNNNNNNNNNNNNNNNNNNNNNNNNNNNNNNNNNNNNNNNNNNNNNNNNNNNNNNNNNNNNNNNNNNNNNNNNNNNNNNNNNNNNNNNNNNNNNNNNNNNNNNNNNNNNNNNNNNNNNNNNNNNNNNNNNNNNNNNNNNNNNNNNNNNNNNNNNNNNNNNNNNNNNNNNNNNNNNNNNNNNNNNNNNNNNNNNNNNNNNNNNNNNNNNNNNNNNNNNNNNNNNNNNNNNNNNNNNNNNNNNNNNNNNNNNNNNNNNNNNNNNNNNNNNNNNNNNNNNNNNNNNNNNNNNNNNNNNNNNNNNNNNNNNNNCGCCGCACCGGGUGCCCCCGCCGCCGUGGCCCCUACCGCCGCGGCACCCGCCGGCCCUGCUGCCCCGUCACUUGGCGUGACUACCCGUGCCCGAGCAGGAGUGCUUCGGCCCAGUAUGCGCUACUCCGCCGACGAGUAUGUGUGCACCGCCUCGACGUCGACGCCAUUACCCGUCCCCACCUCCGCUCGUGCUGCCCUUCGGGAUCCCCACUGGCUAGCUGCGAUGUAGGAGGAGUUCGAUGCCUUACAGCGCAAUCGCACGUGGCAGCUUGUUCCGCGACCCCCUCGUGCCAACAUCAUCUCUGGCAAGUGGGUGUUUCGCCACAAGACUCGCCCAGUCGGUUCUCUCGAGCGCUACAAGGCUCAAUGGGUGGUUCCUGGUUUUCGGCAGCGCGCGGGCGUGGACUUCACCGACACUUUCGCCCCGGUUGUGAAACCGGGCACGAUCCGCGCCGUCCUUCAGCUGGCCGUCUCGCGCGCCUGGCCUGUGCAUCAGUUGGACGUUUCCAACGCCUUCUUGCACGGUCAUCUCGCCGAGCAGGUGUUCUGUGAGCAGCCUACUGGUUUCGUCGACGCCGAGCACCCCGACUUCGUGUGCUUGCUCUCCCGCUCUCUGUACGGGUUGAAGCAGGCGCCUGGGCUUGGUACCAGCAUAUCGCAGCCUACCUGCAGUCUCUGGGCUUUCGGUUCACUCGCUCCGAUGCCUCACUUUUUGUGUAUCAUCAGGGAGCUGACACUGCAUAUCUGCUGCUCUACAUCGACGACAUCAUCCUCACGGCGUCCACCCCCGAUCUCCUUCAGUGGCUGACUGCUCAUCUUCGUGAUGAGUUCACCCUCAAGGACUUGGGGCCCCUGCACUACUUUCUCGGCAUCGAGGUGAUCCGCCGGGCUGACGGUUUCUUUCUGCAUCAGCAGAAGUACGCCCACGAGCUCCUCGAGCGUGCCGGUAUGCUUAACUGCAAGCCGGCGCCCACCCCCGUCGACACGAAGGCAAAGGUCUCUGCUCUAGAGGGGUCUCUCGCGUCCGAUGGAGCAUUUUAUCGCUCUAUUGUCGGUGCUUUACAGUACUUGACCCUGACUCGCCCCGACCUGCAGUAUGCUGUUCAGCAGGUGUGCCUCCAUAUGCACGCCCCACGUGAAUCUCACUGGACUCUGGUGAAGCGUAUUCUCCGUUACAUACGCGGCACCAUGUCCUUGGGACUCACCCUGACGGCCUCCGCCUCCACCGACCUCGUGGCCUACUCGGAUGCUGACUGGGCUGGCUGCCCCGACACGCGACGCUCUAUGUCAGGCUACUGCGUCUACCUUGGGCCCUCUGUAACACCCACGAUGCGGCUAUAUCUCCCACGUGUCGAGGCACGUGGGAGAUAUAGCCGCAUCGUGGGUGUUACAAGUUGGUAAUCAGAGCCAUCCCCGACUUAGGAGCCCCCUGCUUGAUCGAAUCGCUAUCAUUGUUGAGUCUAGAACAAAAAUGUUUUGAGUCUUAGGAUUAUAUAUAUCGGAGAGUAGGAAUUUUUUUACUCCUCAGUCCCUUCGUCGCUCUGGUGAGGUCUCCUGACGUAGAAGUUUUGACUCUUCUCUCCUCAAAUUUCACUAUUUUUUUUAGGAUCACGCGGGUAUCUUAGAAUCGUUCCGAUGGUUUUGUGACGAGAACAUUGUUCUUGGUGCCUCCUGACAUUUAGGGGUUGUGGCGGUGUCCCGGGGAGUUGAGCUCCGAGGUGUUGUCGUCACAAUUUUAUCGUUGCAGUUUUGGAAUACCCGAGUUUCGCUGACAUCGAAAUCUCUUUUAUGCAGUUGUUGGUGAGAUCACCUCGACGCCACCCAGUACUGGGGCGGGAGUUCGGGAGUAUUUCCAUAACUCGUAUAACGGAUGCUUUUCGAAGGUUGAGGUAAACGAUUUCCGGAGUUUUCUUGGUUAUGUGUUGAAGGAUGGAUACAGCUGGAUCUAGGUAUUGUUAGUUUGGGUGAUAUAUUUUGUGUCCCCUGUAUCCCCAACACCUGAUUGCAUAACCAGAAAGUUUUGGGAGUUUAUAAGUGGGAAUUCAAGUAGCUCUUAGGAUAUCUUUCCGACAGACGCAUGAUAUGAGAUUGAGGUUCGACGUCUAGUGGUCCCCCUGUACACGGUUGGUUUUACAGUGGUCUCGUAGUGUCUUAAAGAGUCCUUGGCUAUGCCGACUCGGGGACGCUUCGUAUGUCAUGUGCACUGCCUUGUACAUGAUGGUGUUGUACGAUCGAGCCCGUGUGGGCCCCACCACGAAAACUUCGAACGAAAUCUCUAUCAUAUGUUUGUUCCGGCUUAUUCCGCAAGCCAAAUCCUUUGUUUUGUUUUAUUUGUGGUAUUCGAGUUGCUUCAAUGACAAGUGUUGAUUCCAUACCUUAUUCUAAGUGGUGUUCUCAUAUUUCUAUGUGGAUGAUAAUCCUUCUUGAUCAUCGAGGUCGUCAUGUUAAUUCCUUCCAACCGGUGUGCUUCUCUUCAAGUGGAUCCGAUCAUUUCAACAUUCGCGAGAUCAAUUCUUAGUUCUUUGCAACGGUGUUUGCUUCAUCCGUCCCAAGUUGCCUUUGUUUUUCCCGCCCUCCCACCCUUUUUCUUCAAGGACUCAGAUGUCUUAAUCAAGUAUCCAUUCUAUUCAUGUGAAGCCCCUUCAUUCUUUUCAAUCAAUGUGCUUACCCGGUGGUUCUCAUGAAGUUGUUCUUCAAGUUUAUUAUUCUUCGUUCUUUUUCUUCUCCGGUGAAUUCAAUUCAAGCUUUCAGUGUUGAUCGUAUUCUUUUCCUCGUUCCAAAUGCUUUCUCAUGCCGGUAUACCUCUUAAUCAUCCACCUCUCGUUUUCCAUUUGUUCCGGUGUGCUGAAGAUAUCUCGGAAAAUUCGGGUUUUCAUUCCUAAUUUGUUCAAGAUAUCUCGAGGUUGUUAUCUCUUUUGAGCCAUUUAAUUCAACCGGUGCAAUCUCCUUUUCAAGUAAUCUUUUCAACGGUGUAUCUUUUGAGUGGGCCCUAACCCACAGGUAUUUUCCCAGGAUCUUACCUGACUCUUCUAAUUUUUCCGGAGUUAUUCUCAAAUUCAUUGCAAAGUUUGACAUAAGAAUGAAUUAUCAUCAGUCAAAUGUCUUUCUCCAAGAUCUUUCAAAUUCUUUUCAUUGUUGAUUCAACCUUUUUAUUAUCCAUUGUUCCGGAGUGCCUCAAUAAUUCUUGAUGGUGUUUCUCAUCGUCAUUCUCAACGUUUGAAGACCGAAGAAGAAUUUCUCCUAAAUCUUGGUCCGUUCUCUUGAAGAUUCAUAGUUCUAGCUUAUGCCAUCCUCUCAUAAUUGUUUUUGAUUGUGAGAAUUCUUUUCUUACCCAUCCGGAGCAUUUCAUGAGUUGUUUUCAUUUCUUGAUCAUCCAAAGGCCAUCAUGUCAUAAUUAUUCAUUCUAGCUUUCAGCUCUCGUUCUCCAAACCUUACCGGUGCAUCAUUCAAAUAUCCUCUAAUCAGUUCAUGAUCUCUUCGUUCUCAUGUAUCUAAAUUCUGUCAAGUAUCUUUAUUCGUUUUCUAAUUCUUCCCGGUGAAUUGUGCCUUUGUUACUUUCAUUCUCAAUUCUCGCGGUGGUUCGUUCAAGAUUUCUCUUCCUUCGUUAUCAUAUCAAUUUAUUCGUUGUUUCAAUCCUACCGGUGGUUCGUGGAAGACCUUCCCAAGUUUGCGCCAUAUCUAUCUUAAUCCUUUCUACGAGAAUAAGUAGUAUGAAAAAUCCAUUGCUUGUCAUCAAUUAAUUGGUGGAGGAUGAGCAUAAUGUAAUUCUUAUUCUUGUUUCAUCGAGUAAAUUCAAUUCCUUAUUCCGGAGGUUCAUCAAAAUUCUUGAUUUCAUUGUCCAUCUUUCUUUCCGGAGUUCCAAGUUUUUCUCGGUUAUAGCAUUUCAAAGCUCCACCCACAUCAUUGCAAGGCUUCACCUUGUGUUGUCAACUUCUCUUUCUUUUUAUCAUCCUUUUAUUACCGGAGUUCUUCAUGGAGGCUCUACAUGGUGGUUCAUCAAGGAUUCUUUUCAUUCCUCAAUUGUUCUUCAAGAUUUUCUCGAAGUUGAGAUCCGCUAAGCUAUACUCUAAAAUUAACAUGGUGUUCAACACAUGUCUUGUUUUGAGGAGUCCAAGUAUUCUUCAUCUUGCAUUCCGAAGUGCAAUUCUUUCUCUUAUCUUUUGAGGUGGUGUUAUGUCAUUCUUGACAAUUUGAGUUCGCGUUUCAUGAUUCACAUGUUGUCAAGAAUGAGAUAUUUUAAAUCCACCAAUCUCUUCGUUGGAUCUAUCUUGUGUCAUAUUUCACCUAAAGCCUUCCCUAAGGAAUGUUGCUAUUAUGAUGCUUAUCAAUGGUCCAAGUUUUCUCCUAUCCUCUCGGCGAGAGAAGAUUUCAUCUCUUCGUUGAUCUCAAGCAAGCAAUUGUUUUCGUUAGUGGCAAAAUUUCACCUCAUAAUUUUGAGAUGUGUUCCAUAAGCCCUCAACAAGCUUGUUCUUUUAGUUGUUGGUUUUUUCCAACAACUCCGUUCUAACCUUCUUGCAAGGAUACUUUCCAAAUUCAUUUGUGGAAGGUGUUGUCAUUUUCUUCUCCAUUCUGUUAUUCCAAUGAUCUAUCUUCUAUUUUUUUCUUCCAGAGGCAUGGUGAUGUUGCUCUCUUCGCUCAUCAUCUCGAAUUGUGAGGAUCGUGUUCUUUUCUUACUUAUCCAUUUAACCGGAGUGUUGUGUUUUCAUUCGAGUUCUCUCAUCUUAUCAAGUUUUGUCUCCUUCCUCAACCGGAGUGCUGUCUGAUAUCUUUCUUACCCCUUGUGUCAUUCUUUCAUUAGUUCCGGAGGCAAUGUGUUGUUAAUUUCAUCGAGUAUCCUCUCAUCUUCUCAAGUUCAUGUUAAUUCCUUCCAUUUUCUAUCGGAGUGCUGCCCAAAUUAUAUUAAUCUUAUUCCUUCUCUAUCUAGUUUUAACCGGAGUCUCAACCAAGUGCUUUCUUUUGCCAAGUUCAUAUUCUAUGCCUUCCAUUUCCAACCGGAGCGUUAUCGUAAUUGAUCAUUAUCGUUCCUUGUACAUCUCGUUUCAACCGGAGUGCUUGCUUGUAUUUCUCGUCCAUUGGUCUCUUCAUUCAUAGCUUUGCAAACAACAAGGUUCACAUGGUGUUCCUUGUUUCUCUUUUCUACCCGAGUCCUCUCAAUUUUGUUCACCUAUGUCAUGUCAUUUCUUCAAGCUUUGCGACCUCUCAAGGUUCUUUGUUUUCACUCGUUUGUCAAAGAAGCAACUUAGCUUUACCUUUUCUCUUCCUCUUCCGUUUUUCUCCGGUGCCAUCCUAGAUCUCGGGACGAGAUCCUCUUGUAGUGGUGGAGUGUUGUAAUGCCCCGAGACCGACGCUCCAGAUGACUUUCAUGUUUUGCGUGUCAGUGGUGUUAUUUAUUUUUUGUUGCAUUUGCAUCAUGAUCAUCAUUGUAGUGUGCAUAUUUGUUGUGUGCUUGUUAUCCUUGUGUACUCCUUCUCCUCAUCUUCUUUGCUGUUUCAUCUUGCCCUUUUCUUCUAAACCAUCAUCAAGUGCAACAUCCCAUCAAGCUUCUUCCUUUCAAUUCUCAUCCAUUUAUUGCAAGUGUUUUUUUCCUGUCCCAGUAAAUGUUCACUUAUUUUCUGUUAAUAUUAAACCAUGCCUACACCCUCUCUGCCAAAUUGCAGCUCUUUUGGACUUGAUUUGGUUGGAAUCAAAAUUGCCUCAAGUUUGAAUUUAAUUCAAACUUGCGAUAAUUUUCUUACUCUAAAAAUGCCCAAACCAAUUUUAUCAGAUGGAGCAUAGUUCCAGGAGUCCAAGUAUAUCUCCACUUCAUUCAUAUUCUUCCCCAAACCUCUUGGACAUUUUCCUUUGGGGACUGUUUAUUUAUUAAACAGAAAAAUAAGUAAAGGGAGACUUACAUUCUCCUUACCCGGCCCUCUCCUAGACUGCAGCCCACAGCACCACAGCCCACCUCACUUACCUCUUUCAGCCCGCCUAGCCCACCAGAACCGAUCUCUUCUGUUCUUCUUCUACCUCAUGUACGGCAGGACAUCCACACACGCCACGUCGACCUCCCGAGUGAUUUGACAGCCGGAGAGCCCCCCUAGGCCCUAUAUAACAUGCCCCGGUGCCCUAGUCCUCCUCCUCCCUCCGUUCCGCCCCUCUCCUUCCCUUCCCGCCGCCAGGUGAGACCUCUCCACACCAUAGCCGUCGCCAUGGCCGAGAGGAGCCCGAGCUUUUCUCCGGCGUGAUCCAGCCCGCUGCUACCGUCUUAUUCCUCGGCAGCGACACAAGCAUCACCAUCGUCUUCCUCGACUAUGCACGCUUCCACAAGGACCCCGGGAGCUUCCUCCUCGAUGUCCCCCUCCCCUGCUUCAACUUCUUCACGGACUCGAGGACGCCGCCCUGAUCAGCGUCCCACCUCGCCUCUGCAUCACAUCUCCGGCCCUCUCUUCGUGUUCCACGAGAGCCCGGUGAGCAGCCGCCCUUCCCCGCUCCUCCUACCUCAUUUACUUCGUCGAUCCGAGCGUUGGAAUGCCCCCUCGUACGAGCUGAAGCUCUGUGACCGCCAUGGAUGAGGUGCUCGAGCUCCUCACACGCACUCCAUCUUGCUGCACACGCUCACGCACUCAGCCGUAGCCCCUCUGUUUCGCCUCGCCGCGCCCGGCUUCGCCCCUGCAUCGCCGCGCUUCGCCGUGGCCUGAGACGAGCUUCUUCUCGAGGCUCACGCUGUGGACUCCUCCCGCAGCCCUCCGCACGCACGUGCACCUCCUUAGCCUAUUCCGCACGCCCGCCGCUGCCUCUCAAGCCCCACCGUCACCACGGCUGCCCUCGCCGGCGCCGUCGUCGCAGCCGUCGUCUUCUCUGUCUAAAUAGAGAACCUCGACCCUGGGUUAUCUCUUAGAAGGCCGCGCCCUAUCCUAUCAACAGCAGCCGCGGCAGUGCAGUGGUUUGAACCACGCUGCUCCAACCGAGGGGUCUGGGGAUCAAAUCCCAGUCGCCCCUCUUUUGCUCUGUUCUUUUAUUUCUUUUGCACACACCCACAACUACUUGGGCCGAAUCCUCAUCUGGGCCGCUGCAGCGUAAUGCUUCGGGCCCGUGCAUUUUUUUCCAGGCUGUAUUUUAGAAUUAUCCAAUGCAUUCUUAUUUACAUAACUAAAUAAACUUCAUAUGUAAAUGGGGUAGAAAAAUGCAUAGAUUAACUUGCUGCAUUUUAUUUUGUUGUUUAACAACAUUAAAAUUGUGUUUAUGGCAGAACAGUACCAAAUUCGUAAUAUGCAUAUGAGGAUUUUCCGGAAUUGUUGUUCGUUGUUUCCGGCCUCAUUUAAAUUGCCUAGAUAGGUAGUUUUGUUAUGCUUCACCCCUUGCCAUGUUUAAUAUCAGUUAAUAUUGUUGGGUACAUAGACGGGAGAGAACUAAAUAAUUGAUGUGGUGUUUCGUCAAUAUGCAACUCGUUGCAUAUUGAGCUCCACUUAAUUUGUAGUAUUGUUUGUUGCACUUUGCCAUGCCAUGCAUCAGUAAACCGGACAUGCAUCAUACUUGGUUGUGCAUCAUGCCAUGUUUAUGUGAUGGUUGUUUACUAUGUUGUUUGUUUCUUUCCGGGUUGCUUCUCUCGUUACCUUCGGUUUCGUUCCGGAGUUGUGAGGAUUCGUUCGACUACGUCCGUUUGUCUUCUUCAUGGACUCGCUCUUCUUCCUAGCGGGAUUUCAAGCAAGAUGACCAUACCCUCGAAAUCACUUCUAUCUUUGCUUGCUAGUUGUUUCGCUCUAUUGCUAUGUCGCGCUACCUACCACUUGCUUUCAAGCCUCCCAAAUUGCCAUGAACCUCUAACCUUUUCACCCGUCCUAGCAAACCGUUGUUUGGCUAUGUUACCGCUUGCUCAGCCCCCUCUUAUAGCGUUGCUAGUUGCAGGUGAAGAUUAAGUUUGUUCCUUGUUGGAACAUGGUUUUAUGAACUCUGUUGGGAUAUCACAAUAUCUCUUAAUUAAUUAAUGCAUCUAUAUACUUGGUAAAGGAUGGAAGGCUCGGCCUUAUGCCUGGUGUUUUGUUCCACUCUUGCCGCCCCUAGUUUCCGUCAUACCGGUAUUAUGUUCCUUGAGUUUGCGUUCCUUACGCGGUUGGGUGAUUUAUGGGACCCGCUUAACAGUUCGCCUUGAAUAAAACUCCUCCAGCAAGGCCCAACCUUGGUUUUACCAUUUGCCUACCUAAGCCUUUUUCCCUUGGGUUCUGCAGACUCAAGGGUCAUCUUUAUUUUAAACCCCCGGGCCAGUGCUCCUCCGAGUGUUGGUCCAACCCGUCAGUCGCCGGUGGCCACCAGGGGCAACUCUGGGCUCGCCUAUCGGAAGCUUGGACAAUCCGGUGUGCCCUGAGAACGAGAUAUGUGCAGCUCCUAUCGGGAUUUGUCGGCACAUUCGGGCGGCUUUGCUGGUCUUGUUUUACCAUUGUCGAAAUGUCUUGUAACCAGGAUUCCGAGACUGAUCGGGUCUUACUGCGAGAAGGAAUAUCCUUCGUUGACCGUGAGAGCUUAUAAUGGGCUAAGUUGGGACACCCCUGCAGGGUAUUAUCUUUCGAAAGCCGUGCCCGCGGUUAUGUGGCAGAUGGGAAUUUGUUAAUAUCCGGUUGUAGAGAACUUGACACUUGACCCUAAUUAAAACGCAUCAACCACGUGUGUAGCCGUGAUGGUCUCUUCUCGGCGGAGUCCGGGAGGCGAACACGGUUUCUGGGUUAUGGUUGACGUAAGUAGGAGUUCAGGAUCACUUCUUGAUCAUUGCUAGUUCACGUCCGUUCCUUUGCUUCUCUUCUCGCUCUUGUUUGCGUAAGUUAGCCACCAUACUUGCGUAGUCGCUGCUGCAACCUCACCACCUUACCCUUGCCUACCCUUAAGCUUAAAUAGUCUUGAUCUCGCGGGUGUGAGAUUGCCGAGUCCUCGUGACUCACAAAUACUUCCAAAACAGUUGCAGGUGCCGAUGAUACCAGUGCAGGUGACGCAACUGAGCUCAAGUGGGAGCUCGAUGAAGAUCUUGUCCGUUGUGUUGUUUCUGUUCUUGUUGAUCAGUAGUGGAGCCCAGUUGGGACGAUCGGGGAUCUAGCAGUUGGGUCGUCUUCUUUUCUUUUGGUUCCGUAGUCGGACCUAUGUGUGUAUCUCUGAAUGAUGUAUGAUUUAUUUAUGUAUUGUGUGAAGUGGCGAUUGUAAGCCAACUCUUUAUCCCAUUCUUGUUCAUUACAUGGGAUUGUGUGAAGAUGACCCUUCUUGCGACAAAACCACAAUGCAGUUAUGCCUCUAAGUCGUGCCUCGACACGUGGGAGAUAUAGCCGCAUCGUGGGUGUUACACCCUCAUUGAUCUCUUGGUCAUCGAAGCGGCAGCCCACGGUCUCCCGCUCCAGCGCCGAGGCAGAGUAUCGUGGCGUGGCCAACGCCGUGGCCGAGUGCUCUUGGAUACAUCAGCUGCUCCAGGAGUUGCUUUGUGAUGUUCACAAGGCCACUCUUGUCUACUGCGAUAACGUCAGCGCAGUCUACCUCUCCGCCAACCCGGUGCACCAUCGACGGACGAAGCAUAUUGAGCUCGAUAUUCACUUCGUGCGCGAGCAGGUUGCCCUUGGCCGUGUUCGGGUUCUCCACGUGCCGACGACGCAACAGUUUGCUNNNNNNNNNNNNNNNNNNNNNNNNNNNNNNNNNNNNNNNNNNNNNNNNNNNNNNNNNNNNNNNNNNNNNNNNNNNNNNNNNNNNNNNNNNNNNNNGGGGGGGGGGGUGUUGAGUAUGUGUUUUGUAUUGCACGUGUAUUAGAGUUGUGGCCCACCUCCUAGUCUUGUAUAGUUGAGGUAGAGGCCUUCCCUUGUAUUAUAUAUACGUGCACCAGCACCCCAUCAAUACAACGAUUAUUGUAUUGCAAACUUUCUCAUCUACAGCUAGGAUGCAUGCAGCUCUUACAAUGCAGUUCUUUCUUUGUCGCUAGUUAAGGACUAUGAUAUGUACUCCAAUUAUACCACUGAUACGAAUCAUACGUUGUCUUUGUUAAGAAUCAAACGACGUGUCCCUACUGAACCAUCUUAGCGAGCCGUCAUUAGGAUUAGCGUAAAUACAGUUAUUAGUGUCCAAAGCGUCGUACGGACACGAUCGUCCGUACGGACGCCUUCUCGAUGCCGGAUAUGCACCUCCUGUAACAGGCGCCUCAAAUUGAGGCGCUAAUCCUUGUAUAUAAAGGACUUUGCCCAACUAUUAACGACACAACUUUUCCAUCAAAUCCUUACACGUUAUCAGCCACGCUAGCCUCUACCAACAGAGCACGAACAGGACGAGAGAGAAGGUAAGAUGGCAGGGAUGAACCUGCACAACAUCGCCUAUGCACUUGUUCGUUUCAUCCGACGGGAAAUCCAUCGAUCUGCGAGACGACACAGGGCUGGAGUUUAUCACCCUUGGGGCCCAGGCAACGGCCGCCGUGGUCGUGGUGGUGGUCAGGAUUACCCUGGACCUGCCGCGGCAGAUCAAGCAGGACCAAGCAACCCGCCCGCGGCCGUCCACCAUGCCUACCAGACACCUCCGAUGCCGGCCUUCGUCGCCCCGCCAAUAGACUGGGCUCCCGCCGAUGCAGCAACCCCGUUCCUGGGCGAGGAUGACUUCUUUGACGCUACCCAGGCCCCGCCACCGCCGGGGAUCUUCUUCGGCAACGACAUGGACGCAGGCGUGGCCUUCUGUCCGGUGCACGGAUACGGACCUUGCCCUGCCCGCGACUUCUGCCCCGUGCAUGGGUACGGGCCGUGCCCUCCACCGACGGCCACUCCACCACCGGAACCGGAGGUCAUCGACGAGCCGCUCGCCUACCUGGACCUCCCAACGCCGACGCCCGCCGAUGAAGACGACGAGCACUUUGCCCCUCCAGGCUAUGGCCUUGUGCUUGCCAUGAUGGAGUGGGAGGUGACGCCGAACGAAGAGGAGGAGGAGUGGCUCAACUCCGUUGUGAAGCAGGAGCCAACCUCACCGACGGAGACCGACGAACCCGGCGCCACCAUCCCCGACCUCAACACUGCCACCGGCGUGAAGAUCGAGGACGCGGCGUCGUCUUCCACGGCCCCAGCAUCUCCGCCGCCGCCGCCCCCGACAAGCCCGCGGACGCCUCCACCGGCGGCUCGCCGGAUCCUUCGCCGUUUCACGGCGGUGCUGGAGCAGCACCGCCCCGGCCUCCGCUCCGACUCAUGGGCCCCUGCAGGCCUCCACCUCCCCGGCUAUGCUUGGGGGGGGGCGUCCUCCUCCUGAGGAUCGCUGACGCUGGGCACCAUCGGCGCCUGCCGGUGGGAUCCCGUGGGGGUGGCGGUUGGAAUGGGGGUAAUUGUCACGCCCAAUAUGUGAUCCUAUCCAAGAGGAACUCAAAGGUCCCACCAAGGAUAGAGCCGCAUAUUGAAACGCUUUUGCAAGGUGGAUAUCAUUACAUCGUACCAUUACAUAAUAGUUGGGGAUACAUACAAAGGGCAUAGAAAUGCCACAAGAAUACAUCAAACAUCAUACAUGAGAACAACAUCCGACUACGGAUGAAACACAAACAGAAACUCAAACCACAUCCACCCUGCUAGCCCAGGCUGCCGACCAGGAACCUAUCCCAAGAUCGACGACGAAGAAGAACUCCAAAACAAGUAAACAUCGCUCUCACGUCAUGAUCAUCGCAAAACUUGUACCUGCAACUGUGGUUGUAGUAAUCUGUGAGCCACGAGGACUCAGCAAUCCCAUUACCAUGGGUAUCAAGACUAGGAAAGCUUAAUGGGUAAGGAAUGGAUAAGUGGUGAGGUUGCAUCAAGCGACUAAGCAUUGUAUGGUGGCUAACUUACGAGUACAAGAGUAAGAUGAGAAUCUACGCAAACGGCCGCAAACUAAUAAUGAUCAAUAAGUGAUCUUGAACUACUUACGUUCAAACAUAACCCAACCGUGUUCUCCUCUCGAACUUCCCCGAAAAGAGACAAUCACGGUUACUCACGCGGUUGGUGUAUUUUUAAUUGAGUUUACUUCAAGUUCACUACAAGCGGAUAUUAACAAAUUCUCAUCCGCCAGAUAACCGUGGGCACGGCUCUCGAAAGUUUAAACCCUGCAGGGGUGUCCCAACUUAGCCCAUGACAAGAUCGCGGAGACAAUCCUCCAUCGUGGGACCCUCCGAUCAGACUCGAAAUUCCGGUGCACAAGACAUUUCGACAAUGGUAAAACAAAUCCAGCAAGACCUCCCGGCGUGCUGACACCCUGAUAGUAGCCGCGCGUAUCUCGUCUCAGGCCACGUUUGGAUGAGCACAUCGUGCAACAACUGAGACCCGAGUUUCCCCAGGGGAAGCCGCACACGACUCUAAUCUGGGACCAACACCAUCAGCACUGGCCCCUGUUUAUGUAGAAAGAAUCGUCGGGUUCAUGACGCCCUAUGCCAAUUAAUUAUUUAGUUCAAUAUUAUUAUGGCAAAUUUUAAAACCAAUGUUGGGCUUUGCCGGAAGAGUUUUAUUCAAAGCGAACUGUCAAGAGGGGCCCAUAAACCCUCACCGUGUUAGGGACGCAAAAUCAAGGAACAUAACACCGGUAUGAAGGAAACUAGGGAGGCAAGAGUGGAACAAAACACCAGGAAAAAGGCCGAGCCUUCCACCCUUUACCAAGUAUAUAGAUGCAUUAAUUAAAUAAGAGAUAUUGUGAUAUCCCAUGAUAUCCAUGUCCCAACAUGGAACAACGUGCAACAGCACCUGCAACUAGCAAUGCUAUAAGAGGGGCUGAGAAAAGCGGUAACAUAGCCAAACAGCGGUUUGCUAGGUUGGUGGAAAAGGUUGGAGGCUAUCAUGGCAAUCUGAAAGGCUUGAUAAACAAGUGGUAGGUAGCGCGACAUAGCGAUAGCAUCGAGACAACUAGCAUAGCAAAGAUAGUAGUGAGAUCCAAGGUGACGGUCAUCUUGCCUGAAAUCCCACUAGAAAGAAGAACGAGUCCAUGAAGAAAAUGAACGGGCGUAGACGAACCAAGCGUAGUCGAACGAGUCCUCACAAUCGCAAUGAAACCAGGACUAUCGAGAAGAAGCACAACCGGAAAGAAGCGAACAACAUGGUAAACACACAACACAUAAACAUGACAUGAUACUCAACCAAGUAUGAUUCAUGACAAGGAUAUAUGAUGCUACUCAUGGCAAGAGAAGAUGCAUACAAGAACAUCACAUCAAAGCAAGUUUAAAUGAGGCCGAAAAUAACAUAUAACAACUCCGGUAAGUCCUCAUAUGCAAAUUUCAAAAUUGGUCCAGAUCUGAAUAACACAUUAUGUUGAAGUUGUUAAACAGAAAGUUAAAUUACACCAUGAUGAUCUACGCGUCUUUCUAGUCAAGUUACAUAUAAAGUUCGUUUAAUUCGGAGCUACGGCCUAGAAGUUAUGAGCAAAACAAGUUAAACAUGGCAUUUGUUGCAAAUGCAAGCAAAAGACAAUCACAAGCACUCCAAAACAUGGAUGCAAUAUGGCAUGAUGAAACUACAUGCAAAACCAAGCAAGUUUCAUGUAGAGCAUGCUCCAAACGGAGCCACGGUUCAACACAUACGCACGAAACAAGUUUAAAGGACAUGCUGACCCAAAACAGCAACUAGGCAUCUUACAAGCACCAUAACAACAUGCUACAAGAACAAGAUAUGCACAAACAUGAUAUGCACUUAAACUAAAGAUUACAUGCUACAGUUAUCAUCAAGGUUCAGGUUCAUAGGCAUCAAGAUUAAUCCAACAUGAGCAAAGCAAAAGGCAACUUUAUAGCACAGAUUAGGACUUGAGUGAAAAACAGGGCAUACAUGUGAGCAAAAAUAACAUGUUGACAUGUUGGAGGUAUGAAACAAUGAUGCUACAGUGCAAGAUCAUAGAAAACAAAAGAAUGGCAUUAAAGUACAGGUUAAACAUGGCAAAACAUGAUUGCUAAGCAUCUCCAUAUAACCUUUAGAUCAAUGGCAUGCAUCAAGACAAGUAAGCAAGUCAUAACAGAUUCUCAGACUUAGUGAAAACAGAGCAAGGCUGGAAACAGAUUCAUGAUGCAUAAUUUGAGACAACAAAAGUAUAUACUACAGGAACAUUUCAUGGCAUCAAAGGGCAUAAAAAGCAUUUACAUGUCAAGCACCAUAAAACAUGAACACUGAGCUACUGCUAGAAACCACUAGAACACGCUCAAAACAUCAUGUCAAGAAUGCAAAUGAUAACAGAUUCACAGACUUCAUGGAAUUUAGUGAACAUGGCAGAAACAGCGACAAGUGGACAUGUUUGAAAGCUCGGUUAACUCAACACAAAGCAUAUCAUGGCAUGUGAAUACAACCAACAGCAAGAAGACAUAUUUGUGCAGCUACUCAUGUCAAGAACAUGGUUAUAGGAUGCAUAAAACACUAGCUAUUCACAUGGUAAUAAUGAACUUACUGUUAACAGGCUGACAACAACAUUAUUUAGCAAUUUUAGAGCAUGGUAACAACAAGAUACAGUAGACUAUAAUUGCAAAAGAGGGCAUGGAUGGAUAGAGCAUAACAUGAUCUAUAAAACAUCCUUACUAAGCAUCUCCAGAUUAUGCAUAUAUUCACUUGUAGCAUCAAGUUAACAUGGAAACAUAAUGUAGCAGAUUCAGGCUUAACACAUCAUCAAGUCACUGAAAUCAGCAACAGCAAGUACCCUACUUUGCAUGCUUGUUCUAGUGAGCACAGGGCAUAUAAAAAUAUGUGGAUUGCACCACUGUAAAGAUGGCAUGAAUAUGCUCCCAAAACAUGUUGACAUGUUGCUCAAAAGAUUAACAUACAGAAUGCUAUGAAAAAGACAAAUCAGCAAGUUAUGGCAAUAUCCAGCAGGUUAUAACAUUUAUCACUUUUGCAACGAGGAUUAAGGCAUCAACUUGAACAGUAAGAUGCAUACAAACUACACCACCAUGUAGAGAAUUCAGAGUUGAACAUUUCAACAUAUCAUACAUGCAAAACAGAGCAAUAUGCACAAAGUUAUGACAUGACGAAGAUGCACACAUAAUAUCGCAGAUCUGGGACUUGAACGAAAAAUCAACCUCCGAAAACUGGACGAAGACGUGCGGGACGAGGGGAUCCGGGAUGGCGGAGGCGUUUGGUUGGUGGGAUGGGUGGAUCUGAUCAACCCGAGUGGAUCCGGGUCGGAGGAGCUCCGGCGAGGCUCCGGCAAACUCCGGCGAGACGACAGCGGGCGGAUCCGGCCACAGGGCUCCUCCUCCGGCCGGAUCUCGCCAGAUCUGGCGCGGGGCAGCGCGGUUGGCGGCGAGGGGAGGCGCGGCAAGGUCAUCGGAGGUCGGGGGCGGCGAGGUUCGGCGGCGGGGCUAGGCGGCGCGGCGGAGGCGGCGGUCGGCGGCGGAGACGAGGAGGCACGGGGCGGUGCGGCGCUAGGGAGGAGCGAGGAGGCGACGGGAAGCUCGGCCGGCCGCGGCNNNNNNNNNNNNNNNNNNNNNNNNNNNNNNNNNNNNNNNNNNNNNNNNNNNNNNNNNNNNNNNNNNNNNNNNNNNNNNNNNNNNNNNNNNNNNNNNNNNNNNNNNNNNNNNNNNNNNNNNNNNNNNNNNNNNNNNNNNNNNNNNNNNNNNNNNNNNNNNNNNNNNNNNNNNNNNNNNNNNNNNNNNNNNNNNNNNNNNNNNNNNNNNNNNNNNNNNNNNNNNNNNNNNNNNNNNNNNNNNNNNNNNNNNNNNNNNNNNNNNNNNNNNNNNNNNNNNNNNNNNNNNNNNNNNNNNNNNNNNNNNNNNNNNNNNNNNNNNNNNNNNNNNNNNNNNNNNNNNNNNNNNNNNNNNNNNNNNNNNNNNNNNNNNNNNNNNNNNNNNGGCUCAGGCGGCGCGGCCAGAUGGGCUUGGCGGGCCGCGGCGGCGCUGGAGGUGGGGAGGGUGAUGUGGCAGCGCGUGAUUGGGCGUGGGCGCCGGGCGGACGCAUCCGGCGGCGGGAUGAGGAGGAAGGCUAGGGUUUGAUCCGAAAAUGGAAGGGGAGCUGCUUAUUUAUAGGUAGAGGGAGCUAGGCGAGGGCUACUGAGGUGCGGUUUUCGCCCACAUGAUCGUGAUCCAACGGUGAAGAGCAUGGAAGGGGUUUAGAUGGGCUAGUGGGCUGUUGUUAAGGGGUGUUGGGCUGCAAACAGGGAGGGGUCCGGCGGUUAACCGUUGGGGCAUCAAACGACCUUCAAAUGGAACGAAAUUUGACAUGAUGUCUACCGGUGAUGUAUCAAGACCACUCGUCAACUCUCGGCCCAUUCCAAGAACGUUUUUGUCCCGCUCACGAAACAAGAUCUGGGAGGUGCGGCGGGUGCGUGUGAGAGUGUCUGGGCUCGGAAUGGACAAUGGAGAGAACUGGGAGACCCGAACGAAUGCAAGUUUUGAAAAACAUGCAGAUGCAAUGCAAAUGAAAUGCACACAAUGACUUGGCAAAGUGCAACACGCAAGCAAAUGACAUGGCAAAGACGACGAAUAACUGGGAGACACCUGGCGCAUCGGUCUCGGGGCGUUACAGGAAUUGACCCCAACCGCCCCACCUCCCAGUCCCCCUUAUCCGCUCCUUCAGCGUCGCCACCAUGGGCCUGGGCCGAAAGGCCUCGUGGGCUGUGGCCCAUGUUGCAACGACCAGCAAGAAGAAGAAAAAAACCCCAACGGGUGAUAGGCUAGAUUGUAAAAAAAAUCCUCAUAUUAUCGGAAUUUCGUGCAUUAGUCCAACUACUAGUACUAAUUUAGUGCUUGUCAUGUUUUAGCCCCGUAAAUUUGGGAAUUCGCAGAUAGGUUCAACUAUUAGUGCUGUAAUUAAGUACUUGUCAUGUUUUAGACCUUGUAUCUCGAUGUGAUUAUAUAUUGUACUCAAUUAAAUUGUGUAUUGAUGUUUAGACCAUAUUAUGUCUAUAAAUCAUUAUAUGUUCAAUGUGUUUGCAAUUCGCAAUCCCUAUAACAUGUACAAAUGGUACAAUAAUACUAUUUUGCAAUUGAAAAUCAUUUAUUUUUGCAACUCAAAUAUUAAUUCGCCAUCAAUUAAGUCCAAAAAAUGCCUAUGUAGCACAAAAUAGACUUAAUUCGAAUAGAAUUAAUAUGAAAAAAUAAACUAAAUAAAGUUCAAGUCUUUACUUGAAUUCAAAACAAUUGCAAAAUUUAUUACAACAUGACCACGAUGAUUUUAAUUUACAUACAAGUAAAUUGAUCGAAUAUCUGGUUCUCAAUCUUGUAGGACAAAAUGACCGUCAUAGAAUUUGAAGAGCUUGCGAUCGACGGACACAACUAUCCUACAUGGGCUAUGGAUGUUAAAACCAGUCUUUCAUCCCGUGGAAUUGCAGCUGCACUCAUACCUCCUGCAGACCCUCCCCAAGAGGGAAUUGCACAAUUAACCGAACAUCAACAAUAUGCUGCUUUAUACAUAAUAAGGCACCAUAUCCAUCCAGAUCUGAAAUCUGAAUAUUUGAUGGAGGAAUCUCCAAGCAAUAUGUGGCAAUCACUUAAGACUAGAUAUGAAUAGCAAAAGGCAGUUAUACUACCUGAAGCUAGUCAUGAGUGGACCCAUUUAAAACUCCAAGAUUUCAAAUUGAUCGGAGCUUAUAAUCACGAGGUUCAUAAAAUUUGUUCGAAGUUGCGGUUUUGCGAGAAGGAGCCUACAGAAGCAGAUAAGAUAGAAAAGACUCUAUCCACUAUGCUCCCGGCUGACAGGAUCCUAAAGCAACAAUAUCGUGCCCGCAAUUAUACAGUUUACUCUGAACUUAUACAUGUGCUCCUCCAGGCUGAGAAACACGAUGAACUUAUGCUAAAGAAUAGUAAUCAACGCCCAGUUGGGGCCGCUCCUCUGCCUGAAGUACAUGCAAAUUUUCAUUAAAACACCAAGUUCAAUGGUUCUUUCAAAGGCCAAAACAAGAACUUUAUGGGUAAGAGCAACCACAACAAGAAGAACAAGCCACAAAAUUCAGACAAGGGGAGGGGCAUAACAAAGAAUAAGUUUGAUAAAACUAAACUUUGCCAGAAAUGUGGAUGCUACAAGCAUGUCACCAAAAAAUGCCGCACCCCAAGACAUCUGGUAAACCUCUACCUGCAAUCCAUGGGACGUAACAGACCUACCCAAGGAGCAAGAUAUGAAGCUCACUUCAAUCUUCAACCUGAUAACAAGGAAGCUGGUUGUUCGCAAGAUGUUCAAGGAGCACCAAGUAACAACAAGUAAUUCCAUCUAUCGCAGGACUCCAUGGACACGGAUAAUAUGACGACCGAAUACGCCGCCGACAUGUUCGGGGACUUUGACUAGUCAAUUGACUCCAUUUAGAUAUUUUAUUUGUUUACAUCCAUCGGAUUGUUGUAAUAAAAAUAUAUUAUUAUUGUUGUUGUCAUCAUUCUAUAUUGUAAAAACACAAUAUAUAUAUAUAUAUAUAUUGUAUCAGCACUUUGAUAUCAAUAAAAUUUGUGUGUAUUCUAUAUAUCCAAUAAAGUGUUUUUCAUUAAACUGAAAAUUCCACAUUUUAAUAUAUAGAUUUCUAUGGGAGUCAAUCCUAUGGAGGAGGAAAUGUGCCUUCUGGACAGUGGCACCACAAACUCUAUUCUUAGGGAAAUAAAGUAUUUCCAAACUCUUACAAAAUUGAAUGGAGAUAUUUUAACAAUCGCUGGACGCGAUGCGGUAAUCGUUGGCACAUGACAUGCCAUAUUUAGCCUCCCUAUGGGUACACAAAUUGUAAUUGAGGAUGCUUUAUUAUAUCCCGAUUCAACUCGUACCCUCAUAGGUUAUAGAGAUAUCCGCAAAAAUGGUUUCCACAUUGAAACUUAUGAAGAUAACAAAGAGGAAUAUCUCCUCUUUACCAAAGACAACGGAUAUGGCAAACAAAUAUUUGAGAAAAUUCUCUCUUUAUCAUCAGGAUUGUACUACACAUACAUAAAACACAUAGAGCACGUUGCGUAUAAGGUAAUUUUCAGAAUGUAAAUGCAUUCCAAACUUGGCAUGAUUGCCUUGGUCAUCCCGGUAUAGGGAUGAUGAGGAAAAUUAUCUGCAAUUCCAAUCGUCAUGACUUAAAUGAAGCUAAAUUCCCACAAUCUUCGGAUUUUAUGUGCACUGCAUGCGCUGCAUGCGCUACCGGGAAACUAAUUUUAAGACCCUCAUCUUAAAAUUCAAGCAGAACCACUACAAUUCCUUGAACGAAUUCAAGGCGAUAUUUGUGGUCCGAUCCAACCAUUGUCUGGACCUUUUAGAUAUUUCAUGGUUCUAAUAGAUGCAUCUACACGAUGGUCUCACGUGUGUUUACUAUCUACACGAAACCAUGCAUUUGCCAAAAUAAUGAGACACGUUAUCAAAUUGCAAGCUCAUUAUCCUAAGAAUCGAAUUAAAUCAAUUCGAACGGACAACGCUGCUGAAUUCUCUUGACAUGCUUUCAAUGAUUAUUGCAUGGCAUUAGGCAUUGAAGUUCAGCACUCAGUCCCAUAUGUCCACACUCAAAAUGGAUUGGCAAAAUCUCUAAUUAAGAGAAUUAAGCUCAUUGCACGACCCUUACUAAUGAAUUGCAGUUUACCAACUUCUUGUUGGGGUCACGCAGUUUUACACGCUGCUGACUUAAUCCAAUUGCGACCAACUGCAUAUCACAACACUUCCCCUCUGCAAUUAGUACGUGGAAACCUGCCAAAUAUUUCCCAUUUGCGUAACUUUGGAUGCGCCACAUAUGUGCCAAUCUCACCACCACAGCGUACAUCCAUGUGCCCACAUAGAAAAUUGGGGAUCUAUGUGGGGUACAAAGCACCGUCGAUAAUCAAGUACCUUGAACCCCUCACGGGGGAUCCGUUCAUAGCCCGUCACGCUGACUGCAUCUUCAACGAGGACCAUUUCCCGGCAUUAGGGGGAGACAUCAAGUACCAAACAGAAUGCCCGGAAAUCAAUUGGAAUGCCCAAGGCAUUUCCUCCUCUGAUCCACGUACUCAAGAAACUGAACUUCAAGUUCGGAAAAUAAUUAAUUUGCAACACAUUGCAAAUAACCUGCCAGAUUCAUUUACUGACUAUAAAGGUGUUACCAAAUCCUACAAUCCUGCUAAAAACGCGCCUGAAAGAGUGGAGGUACCAACAAAAACUACUCAACCCCCUGUUCAAAAGGAAGAUGGGGAGAAGUACGACCACGGAACGGGAUUCAGCUCCUCACAAGCAACAAAGGAAACAGAGAAAGAAACCCUCUGAACCAGCAAAUGUAAACCAACCUAGCGUUGAUAAUCAUCAAAUGGGUAAUAUACACCCAGUGGGAGAACAACCUCCACAACCCAGCUCAGUUGUGCACAAACUGACUGGGACAUCGGAACACCCAGACUCAAUCGUAUUGGGAAAUCACGAAGAGUCACUAGGGGUGCAGGAAAUUUCCAUCAACUAUGUUGAUUCUGGAGAAUCAUUUGACCGUAAAACUACGACUAUUGACAUAUAUUUUGCUGAAAAGAUUGCAGACACCCUUCUCAUUGAUCAUGAUCCAAAGACCAUGGCAGAGUGCAAGAAAGGCUCCAACUGGCCUAAAUGGAAGGAUGCAGUCCAAGCAAAAUUAUCCUCGCUCAAUAAACGGAAGGUACUCACUGAAGCAAUACCUACACCUCCCAGAGUUUUCCCCGUGGGAUUCAAAUGUGUUUUUCUCCAGAAACGGAAUGAGAACAAUGAGGUGGUGAGAUAUAAAGCAAGGCUUGUAGCACAAGGUUUCACGCAGAAACCUAACAUUGAUUUCACUGAAACAUAUUCUCCAGUAAUGAGUGCAACCACCUUCCGAUAUCUUAUAUCUUUGGCAGUGCAAAAUCGUCUAUCUAUGUAGUUGAUGGACGUAGUGACCGCUUACCUUUACGGUUCACUUGAUUCGGACAUAUACAUGAAGGUUCCUGAUGAAGUCCCAAUCCCGAAUCCAAACGCAAAACGCAACGCAUAUUGUGUAAAACUAAAUAAGUCUUUAUACGGCUUAAAACAAUCGGGUCGCAUGUGGUACAACCGACUUAGUGAGUUCUUUUUGAAAAAAAGGAUACUCCAAUAAUGAUGAUUGCCCAUGUGUUUUCAUAAAAAAGUCUGCAACUAGAUUUUGCAUUAUUUCUGUGUAUGUUGAUGAUCUGAACAUCAUUGGAACCACACAAGAUAUUGAUGAAGCACACAAUCACCUAAAGACGGAAUUUGAGAUGAAGGAUUUGGGUAAAACCAAAUUUUGCUUAGGAUUACAACUUGAUCACCUUCCCUCGGGUAUUUUGGUUCAUGAAACCGCCUAUAUCCAGAAAAUAUUGGAGAAAUUCAAUAUGGACAAAUCCUAUCCAUCCAAAAAUCCUAUGGUAGUUCGAUCUCUAGACGUAGAGAAAGAUCAAUUUAGACCAAUGGAUAAUGGAGAAGAGAUAUUAGGACCUGAAGUUCCAUAUCUCAGUGCCGUUGGAGCGCUCAUGUAUCUUGCAAAUUGCACCAGGCCUGAUAUUGCAUUUGCAGUGAAUUUACUAGCUAGACAUAGCGCAACUCCUACCAAACGCCAUUGGACGGGAGUUAAGAAUAUCUUUCGAUAGCUCCAAGGCACAAAGGAUCUUGGCCUAUUCUUUCAAUUUCAGAGAAAUUUGGACAUUGAUAUGAUUGGGUAUGCUGAUGCUGGCUACUUAUCUGACCCCCACAAUGCCAUAUCACAAAUCGGUUUUGUGUUCCUACAUGGUGGGACAGCCAUAUCAUGGAAGUCUUCCAAGCAGACUCUUGUGGUUACAUCCACCUAUCAUUAUGAAAUAAUCGCAUUAUAUGAGGCAACACGUGAAUGUGUGUGGCUUCGCAGAAUGAUAAACCACAUACACAAAUCAUGUGGUAAAGGUUCUACGAAGAUAAUGCAACUUGUGUUGCUCAAAUGCAAACGGGUUAUAUAAAUAGCAAUAUCACUAAGCAUAUUUCUCCUAAAUUACUUUCCCCCAUCAAUUACAAAAGAAAGGGAAGAUAAACAUUUUGCAAGUCAAAUCAUGCGAUAAUCUAGCUGAUCUAUUCACAAAGUCACUCCCAGCUUCAACAUUUGAAAAAUAUGUUCAUGGGAUUGGUAUGCGACGACUUCGAGAUUUGCAAAGAUCAGGGGGAGAGUCUCUCUGAAUCAUAACCUGUUCAAACAUUAUAUUGCACUCCUUUUCCCUUUAUGAGUUUACUCUCAUGGUUCUCAUCAAGGUUUUUAAUGAUUUAAUAUCAACAUAAGAAUAUAUGUCAUACAUCCUACUUUUCCCCACUGGUUUUUUUAAUGAGUGUAUACAAGACAUAUUAAUUGUCCUCUAAACUUACCAACGUCCAUGCACACGACACACACACAUCGACGACCUCACAAACGACACACACACACCACCCAACACAAACACGCACACCACACCGUGCUAAUGCCGCAUCAAGCAGAUAUGGAGGGCACGUACCGACCAGGAGUAAGAGCAUAUGUGGCAUGCUCUCGUCGGUGCCUCACUCCUUCGCUGACUUGGGUAGCAGCGAGUUCGGGGCAGGGCGGGUGUGGGAGGGAUCCGACUCACAUGACAUGCAUAUAAGGACAUCUCCAUAUGUCCCUCAAUGUGGACUGGGUUUCGAGAGUCUAAGACAGUUCCAACAUACUCCCUCUAGUCCUUAUUAGUAGCACACAUAGAUUCUAACAACAAUACGAAUGCAUGAGUUGGCUUUGUACUAUGGAUCAAAACAACCCUACAUGCAAGUUUGUCUCACGCCCAUGUGCACGCUCUGUUAUGGCAUCCAUCAUUCUACCCAAGGGCUAACUCUUCUAAAGUUGCAUGUGUGCACUACACUGUGAAAUCUUGCCAAAAAACUAGCACGCACUAUGAAAGGGAAUUGAGGGAGUAUGGAACAAUUUUGAGAAAGCCCGUUGGAUUUUUUUAUCCAAACAAAUGAGGGAGGUUUGAGAAAUGCCCUUGAAGAUGCUCUAAUUAUCACCAUGUCUCCAUCUGAUUCCUGGUUCACCGAUGUGCCCCACUCUCAUCACCGGGCACUCUCAUCUCCUCCCGGUGACGGUUCUCCACAAGUAAAGAAAAAUAAAUAGAAGAUGUUCAUGGCAGGCCCAUAUCCAUGACCCAAUGUUAGCGUGCGAUACCUCGCGGUAGCGGGCGCUACUAUGCCUCGCCUGAAGCAAGGUGUGCAAACCCUAUUUGGCGCCUUAUGCGUCCGUUCAAUGCGUUUUUCCCAAUCGGCGCACAUUCCCACUCCAAGCUGGGCCAACCCAUUACCUUUUUUUCUUCUGUUUUAAACCAAAAAAUGGUGCACGCGACAGGAUCAAACUCGCGAUCUCUAUAGUCAAAGAGAAGCGACCAAACCACUAAGACAUCGCAACACUUGUACCUAGUUUUGUUUUUCUAUUUAUUCUUUCCCCAGUUCACGGAAGCCCCGCUUUUGGGAAGGGAAACUCUUUCCUUCACUCGACAGAUCGCACGCAAGCCAUCCGUCGCCUCCGCCGCCUCCUCUAUGUAACACGUGUGCACAUACCCUUCGUGUCUCUCUUUUUGCAACGUCAUGUGUGUUGCAAAAUUGUCUUCCGCAACAACACCCAUGUUGUGAAAAAAUGAAGACGAAAAAGCAAAAAAAUGAGGACGAAAAAAAUAACAAAUAUUUUUGCAACAUUGUCUGUGUUGGAAUUUGGUUUCCGCAACCACACAUGUUGCAAAAACAGUGAUGAAAAAAAUCUGCAACAUCAACUAUGUCGGAAAAUAUUUCUGCAACAUAACAUUUGUUGCAAAGUAUUUCUGCAACACUGCCCUUAUUGCAAUAAUGAAAACGGUGUUGGAUGCUGGAUAGCUGUACAAAUGACAAUUGCUGAGGCGACGGAUCUUUUAGAAAGAUCCGCCGGCCGACGCGUAGCGUGCCCCUUUUGGGAAGCUUCCAGCCGGGUUUCUUUUUUUUGGUUGCAAUUUAUUUCCUGGACCGGCUUAUGUGUAAUUUUUUGUUUCUUUUCUUUAAUCUUUUCCUUUUUCUUUAGUAUUGCUUUUCCAUUUUGAAGCACUUUUUUUUCAAAAUUGAUGAACUUUUUUUAAAUUAAAUAUUUAUUGUUCAAAAUUGAUGAACUUUAUUCAAAUUGAUUUUAUUCCAAAUUCCAUGAUUUUUUUUCCAAAUUAGAUGAUUUUUUUUUCAAAAUCAGUGAACUUUUUCUCAAAUUCCAUGAACUCUUUUCAAGUUUGUUGAAACUUUUUUUAAAUUCAAUGAGCUUUUUAAAAAAUCAAUGGACCUUUCCAAAUUCGUUGAACUUAUUAAAAUUUGAUGAACUUUUUUUCAAUUUCGAUGAUCCUUCUUUACAAAAUCGAUGACGUUUUUCCUAUUUGAUGAUUUUUUUAACUUUUUGAUGAUUUUAUUUUCAAAUGAAUGAUUUUUUAAAAUUCAAUGAACUUUUUUCAAUAUCGACGAUUUUCCUUUUCAUGUUUGAUGAUAUUUUUUUCAUGUUUUGUGAACUUCCUUUCAAAUUCGAUGAACUUUUUAAAAAAAUCAUUGAUUCUUUUCUAAAAUUCGUGAACUUUGUUUUGAAAUACGUGAACUAUUUUGAAUUGAUGAACUUUUUUGAUUUUUUUUGAAUUUUUAUUUUUAUUUUUUACAAGUCAACAUGUGACCAGUAAACUGGUCAACCGCGACUGGUCUAUUGUGAUCGAGCGACCAAGGCGGAAAUUAGGGAGAUGAGAUCAAUUGAUCUUCUACAUGAUCCGGCAUAUGACCGUGCGCGUGUGAGUGCCAGUAUCGGCAACUGGCGCUUGCAGCACCAAUUAGGAGCUCCGAGCAAGUUGGAAGUCAGCCUUACUAUAGGGAGCUGGUGCUGGGCCAACCAGUAGGGACGUGGGUUAUCAUGCUUUCCUUAAUUUUUACAAAAGCAGCGAUUACAAAAAUGGUAACAUUGUCUAAAAAAAUGAUAACAUAAUAUUUUUUUGCCAUAAUUAAAGAAAUAUUUAUAGCUUUCAAAAACAUGUUCGUGACAAUAAAAAAUUGUUUCUGUGAUUCAAAAAAGUAUAUGAGAACUUUUUGAAAAAUGCGUAUAUUAUGUAAAUAAAUGUUUUUCAUAGAUAACAAAAGUUUCAUACCAUUAAAAAAUUUUAGGUGACAUUUUAAAUAAAUAUUUACGCAUCGCUAAAGAAUUUUUGUGACAUUUUAAAAUAUUUAUUUAAGGUAAUAAAAUGUUCUCAUAGUUUUUAAAAUUUUUAUUCCAAAAAAUGUUUCCCAUGUGUUAAAAAAAGGUGUUCAACACUUUUCUUAAAAUAAAAUGUAUUUGAGAAAUCUUCAAUGUGUAUCAAUAAUUCUUUUUACGUGUACACUAAAAAAAUAUAUUGUGAACAUAAAAAAAUUGUGUAAUUAAAACCGAGAAAAAGAAAAAUAUAAGAACCAAAGAAACAGAAAAAACCGACAUAUAACAAAGAAAAAACCAAUGAAUAAAAAGAAAACAAAACUAUAACAAAACAACUAAAGAAAACCGUGAAGAAAUAAAAAAACUGAAAUAAAGGGAAGAAAACAAAAAAAAUUCAAGAAAAGCCAACCCGAAGAAUGGAAACAGGAGAACAGACCCACAUAUAUAAGACUGGGCCAAAACAGUGAGAAACCAAAUAAAAAGA